rnacentral:rRNA from 1 species
CAGUUAUCGUUUAUUUGAUAGUACCCUCUACUUGGAUACCUGUGGCAAUUCUAGAGCUAAUACAUGCUAAAAACCUCGACUUCGGAAGGGGUGUAUUUAUUAGAUAAAAAACCAAUGCCCUUCGGGGCUCCUUGGCGAAUCAUAAUAACUUAACGAAUCGCAUGGCCUUGCGCCGGCGAUGGUUCAUUCAAAUUUCUGCCCUAUCAACUUUCGAUGGUACGGUAGUGGCCUACCAUGGUUUCUACGGGUAACGGGGAAUUGUAAGUCGUUCUCUUUUCGACCACCUGAAUCUAUGCUAAUUGUGUUUUGCAGAGGGUUCGAUUCCGGAGAGGGAGCCUGAGAAACGGCUACCACAUCCAAGGAAGGCAGCAGGCGCGCAAAUUACCCAAUCCCGACACGGGGAGGUAGUGACAAUAAAUACUGAUGUGGAGCUCUUUUGGGUUUCGCAAUUGGAAUGAGUACAAUUUAAAUCCCUUAACGAGGAACAAUUGGAGGGCAAGUCUGGUGGACACCUAGUGGGGAGAUGCUGGCACCAGAUAGUGGGGGCGCGGCGCUCGCCGCACCCCCGAGUCGCUCCGGCGGCAAGGCUCUUGGUUCGGGGAACGCUGCCGGGGACGCCGCUCAGGCGGUCCGGGUGGUCAUCCCGCAGCGAGGGGGGUACGCCUCCCCGUUGUAACGCGCGCAAAAGUGCCGGCCACCAUCCGUGGUUCGAGGGACGUGCUGUUCCGGUUCUUGACGAACCCCUCUGCCCGAGCCCUCCGGGUGACGGUGCGAGGAGGGAUCCCUUAUGGGGAUCGCCUGGAAUCCGACACGAUGUCGGUGAUGAAAAUAAGAGGCCAGCAGCCGCGGUAAUUCCAGCUCCAAUAGCGUAUAUUAAAGUUGUUGCAGUUAAAAAGCUCGUAGUUGAAACUUGGGUUUGGUUGAUCGGUCCGCCUCACCGCGUGCACUGGUUCGACCGAACCUUUCCUUGUGGGGAGUCGCAUGCCCUUCAUUGGGUGUGUCGAGGAACCACGACUUUUACUUUGAAAAAAUUAGAGUGUUCAAAGCAGGCUUAAGCUCGGAUACAUUAGCAUGGAAUAAUAGAAUAGGACGUUGGUUCUAUUUUGUUGGUUUCUA